GAGUGAGUCGGAGCUCGGCCUCUCCCCGGCACGUUCUCAGCUGCUCCUGGUUCAGACCCAGCGAGGGAGCCGCGAGCGAGGCUCACCGUCCCCGGCGUGCAGGAUCCGGGGCUGCUGAGCGCUCGCUCCCGCGUGUCCGGCGCUUGGAGUCCCCGCGGCAGGAGAGGAGUCGGGACACUAGAGCUCCAGGGGCGCCUGUGGGCUCCAGGGCCUCCGGCUUCCCCAGUCCCCUUCAGCUAAAGCCCCAGAGACGUGCUCAGCCCCAGGACCUCUGCGGAACAAGGUAAUUGCAGUCCUGGGCGCCUGGGCUCAGCAAAGCGAAUGCGGGCAGGACUCCCAGGUUGACGAAGAAGGAAGGGAGAGGGAGUGAAUGGCCACAGCCGCAGCCGACCGCGCCAGGGACAGGUGCAUGCCCCAGCUCGGUAGCGCUUUCGUUCAAGUUUGUCUUUUGAGGAGUUGCGCUCUAGUAUGAGGCCGCCUAGACCCGAGAGCGCAGGGCUGCGAGUCUGAACCCCGCCUUGCACUCGCGCUCUAACUUAGGGAUAUUCUCCAUAGGAUGAUUGCUCUGUGUCGUCAAGGCC
rnacentral:lncRNA from 1 species